rnacentral:rRNA from 1 species
CGUAUCUGGGCUCAGGUGGGACCACC